rnacentral:rRNA from 1 species
ACUCAAAUGAAUUGACGGGGACCCGCACAAGCGGUGGAGCAUGUGGUUUAAUUCGAUACUAACCGAAGAACCUCACCCAGACUUGACAUGGCAGUGUAAUCCCUAGAGAUAGGGCCCCUGUCCCACAAGGACAGCGCUGUCACACCUGUUGCAUGGCUGUCGUCAGCUCGUGCCGUGAGGUGUUGGGUUAAGUCCCGCAACGAGCGCAACCCGCAUUGCAUGUUGCCAGCGGUUAAAGCCGGGCACUCAUGUGAAACUGCCCGUGUAAGCGGGAGGAAGGUGCGGAUGAUGUCAAGUCGGCAUGGCGGUUACGUCUGGGGCUACACACAUGCUACAAUGGAUGCAACAGAGGGUCGCAAUAUCGCGAGAUGGAGCUAAUCCCAAAAUACAUCCUCAGUUCAGAUUGCAGGCUGCAACUCGCCUGCAUGAAGUCGGAAUCGCUAGUAACCGCAGGUCAGCUAUACUGCGGUGAAUACGUUCCCGGGUCUUGUACACACCGCCCGU